UGAAGUUUGUGUUUUGGUGAUUCGGUUCCGAUCAACUUGUAGAGAAAAGAAUGGUGAUCACGGUGAUAUAAAAAUUGCAUUAAACGGAGGCCGGGAAGGGCCUCAUCGGAGGUAAAAACCGAGAAGGGGCGCGGCGGCGCCGCUGGCUUUCGGCCGUGUUUUUCGGCCGUUUGGCCGGGAUUUUGGCUCCGAUUUGGCCACUGGGGAAAUCAGCGUGGAAAAACGAGUUGGGGGUAUGCAAUUUACCUCGAUCGGCGGUCGGAAAUUCCUCCGGUGCGGCGGCGGGUGGCGGCAGCCGGCUUCUGGUUCGUCUUCUCCGGCGAGGGCAGGCGGCUAGGGUUUGGGGUCUGGUGUGGGGGUCUUAUUUAUACCCUUUUACCUUUUGAUCUCAGCCGUCCAUUUUGUUUUUAUCUGGGCCAUCCGUUUUUGAUUAAAUCUGGGCCGUCCGUGCGCGCAAUUGAUCUGGGCCGUCCGAUCGCGCGCACGCGGAUCGCCAACGUGGCCCGUCCCUGGUCGACUUGGUUUUGCCACGUGGCAGGUCCUGGUUGGCCAGGCCUGCUGACUGGGCCUGCUGACGUGGCACGCACGUUUUUUUUUUUUCCUUCUUCAAUUUCCCCGGGCGCUACAAGCUGGACGGCCAAAUGGCCCAAACAUGUGGCUCUCCUCAAGUCCUGAAGUCAAACCUGUUGUGUAGCCCCAAUUUGCCUGCAUUCUGAGACCAUCAAAUGGGUUAAGAUACUUGCACUUU
rnacentral:lncRNA from 1 species